CUUUUUGUCUACAUCUAGAUAGUCUUGUCUGAGCUCAGAAGCUAAACAUGGUAGGGCAUGGUUAAUAUUAGGAUGAGAGAGCACCUGGGAGCAUCAGAUGUUGUAAGCU
rnacentral:rRNA from 1 species